GCUUGUCUCAAAGAUUAAGCCAUGCAUGUCUCAGCAUAAGCUUCAACACGGUGAAACUGCAAAUGGCUCAUUAAAGCAGUUACAAUUUAUUUGAUGGUCACUGUUACAUGGAUAACUGUGGUAAUUCUAGAGCUAAUACAUGCGAAAAAUCUCGACUCACGGAGAGAUGCUUUUAUUAGAUCAAAACCAAACGGCUUCGGCCGUCUCAUUGGUGACUCUGAAUAACUUUGGGCUGAUCGUAUGGCCUUGUGCCGACGACGUUUCCUUCGAAGGUGUGCCCUAUCAACUGUCGACUGUGAUAUAGACGCUCACAGUGGUUUUGACGGGUAACGGGGAAUCAGGGUUCGAUUCCGGAGAGGGAGCCUUAAAAACGGCUACCACAUCCAAGGAAGGCAGCAGG
rnacentral:rRNA from 1 species